GACUAUAUGGUGCAGCCGACUGGUGGAAGAGAUGAGGCUGAGAGGACACGAAAGGCUUAUGGAAAGACAGUAGGAGCAAGGGAAGAGCAGAGGGGCUUAUCUCAUGUAAGGGCUUCUUGUCACCUGAACUAUGGUUGAAGUUCCCUCAUAGCACACAGCCGCUGGUCAUAAUUCUACCCAGGCAUUUCUGUGCGCACAUUUUCCUGCUGCACUUGCAUAUCAAGAAGCAUUUCAGACCACGGGAAUGCAGGAUUCCAAGGCACCAAUUUACCUUGGAAUUUGAAAAGAUGAUAGAAACGAUGUUAGACAGAAAGAAAACUCGAGUGAUUUUCUUAUUUGAGUUCAAAAUGGGUCGUAAAGUAGUGGAGACAACUCUCAAAAUCAACAACGCAUUUGGUCCAAGAACUGCUAACGAACGUACAGUGCAGUGGUGGUUCAAGAAGUUUUGCAAAGGAGAGGAGAGCCUUGAAGACAAGGAACAUAGUAGUUGGCUAUCGGAAGUUGACAAUGACCAACUGAGAGCAACCAUGGAAGCUGAUCCUCUUACAACUGUGUGAGAAGUUGCCAAGGAACUCAGCAUUGACCAUUCUAGAGUCGUUCAGCAUUUGAAGUAAAUUGGGAAGGUGAAAAAGCUGGAUAAGUGGAUGCCUCAUGAGCUGAGUGAAAAUUUAAAAAAAAAAAAUUGUCAUUUUGAAGUGUCAUCUUCUCUUAUUCUACACAACAACAAAUCAUUUCUCGAUCAGAUUGUGACUUCCAAUGUAACAUGGAUUUUAUAUGACAACCGGUGAUGACCAGCUCAGUGGCUAGACCAAGAAGCUCCAAAGCACUUCCCAAAGCCAAAUUUGGACCAAAAAAAUGUCAUGUUCACUGUUUGGUGGUCUGCUGCUGGUCUGAUCCACUAUUGCUUUCUGAAUCCCAGCAAAACCAUUACAUCUGAUAAGUAUGCUCAGCAGUUCAAAGAGAUGCACUGAAAACUUCAACCCUUGCAGUCAUCUUUGCUCAACAGAAAGGGCUCAAUUCUCCACAACAAUGCAUGACUGCACAUCACACAACUAAAGCUUCAGAAGUUGAACAAACUGGGCUACGAAGUUUUGCCUCACCCACCAUAUUCACCUGACCUCUCGCCAACCGACUACCACUUCUUUAAGCAUCUCAGCAACUUUUUGUAAGGAAAACACUUCCACAACCAGUAGAAUGCAGAAAGUGCUUUCCAAGAGUUCAUUGAAUCCUGAAGCACGGAUUUUUAUGCUACAGGAAUAAACAAACUUAUUUUUCAUUGGUAAAAAUGUAUUGAUUGUAAUGUUUCCUAUUUUGAUUAAUAAAGAUGUGUUUGAGCCUAGUUAUAAUGAUUUAAAAUUCAUGAUCCAAAACCGCGAUUAUUUUUGCACCAGCCAAAUAUGAGGGAGUAAUAGUUGCACAGAACAGUUCUUUCCUGGAAGUCGGGCAUUUUGCCUAGGGGGAAGGAUCAUUAAAAAUUUAAACAUUUUAAUAAAACCAUUAGAACAAA